AUUCAGCUGACGAGUCCCAAAUAAAAUGAAACGCGUGUCUUAGAU
rfam:Schistosoma mattheei strain Denwood, Zambia genome assembly, scaffold: SMTD_scaffold0000573